CCCAAGGUGGCUGUCACCAAUGGAAGCAAAAGCUCUGAAAAGGCUCAAUAUGGAGGCCAAAUGGCCGACAUAUUGGGAAAUUUUGGAGCAAGAAGGAGAUAAAUUGAGACUGCAGAGUUUUGAAAAAUUAAAAAAUAAAGUGAGAGAUUGGCUCCACUACUAUCAGAUAAUGGAGGCAUAUAACUUGGAUAAGAAAAUAGGCUUCCAAGUGGAAAAGUCAAAAUUAGAAACAGAAUUGUUAGAACCCAAAACUAAAAAUUUGUCAAGAAUGUAUAACUUGCUGUUGAAAUGGAAUACUCAGGAUGAAACGGUGAAAUCUGCUAUGAUUAAAUGGGCACAAGAUGUUGGACAUAACAUUAUGUUCGCUGACUGGGAACAGUUAUGGACCACAGGUAUGAAGUUUACGGCAUGUAAUGCCUUAAGAGAGAAUAUUAUGAAAAUGAUAUACAGGUGGUACAUGACCCCAGUCAAGCUUGCAAAAAUUUAUCAUUUGCCCGAUAAUAAAUGUUGGAAAUGUAAAGAAACUGAAGGUACAUUCUUUCACCUUUGGUGGACGUGCCCAAAGAUUAAGGCUUUCUGGGAAAUGAUAUAUAAUGAACUGAAAAAGGUAUUUAAAUAUACCUUUCUGAAGAAACCAGAGGCCUUUCUCUUGGGCAUUGUCGGCCAACUGGUGCCAAAGAAGGACAGAACCUUUUUCAUGUAUGCUACAACAGCAGCAAGAAUACUUAUCGCAAAGUAUUGGAAGACACAAGAUCUACCCACUUUGGAAGAAUGGCAGAUGAAGGUGAUUGACUACAUGGAAUUGGCGGAAAUGACUGGCAGAAUCCGAGACCAGGGAGAAGAGUCGGUGAAAGAAGACUGGAAAAAAUUUAAGGACUAUUUACAGAAAUAUUGUAAAAUUAAGGAACUUUAGAAGGAUGUUGGAUAGAAAUUAAGAGGUUUUUAGCUGUAAUGCUUUAAGAGACAUGAAAAAAAAGGUUAACAAUUGGGUAAAAGAUUAAUGGUAAGGAUUUGCUGAACCAACAAACUGAAUUGGAAUACAAAGAAGGGAGGUAUGAGGAGGUCUGGGGAAAUAAGAGUAAGGAAGAUAGGUUAUGGAACAUUAUUGUGUUUUUAACUGUUUUAUUUUGUAUGUUUUUUCUUACUUUUUACUUUUUUGCUGUAAUUUAUACUUUUUUCUUUGUUUUCUGUAUUUUUGUGAAACUUUAAUAAAUAUCAUUU